UCAAACUUGGUCAUUUAGAGGAAGUAAAAGUCGUAACAAGGUUUCCGUAGGUGAACCUGCGGAAGGAUCAUUACCGAGUUAGGGUGUCGUCCUAAACACACGCGCCCGACCUCCCAACCCUUUGUUUACUGUACCGUAUUUGUUGCUUCGGCGAGCCGGUGUCUUUAUCGACGCCGCCUGGUCUUACAGCCGGGAAAGCGUUCGCCGACGGCCCCAAAACAAAACCAAAACUCUUGAUACCAAAAACCUGUCGUCUGAAUAUUGUGAUUUUUAAAAUCAAAAACAAAACUUUCAACAACGGAUCUCUUGGUUCUGGCAUCGAUGAAGAACGCAGC
rnacentral:misc_RNA from 1 species